rnacentral:rRNA from 1 species
ACGGGUGGCGGACGGGUGAGUAAUGUCUGGGAAACUGCCUGAUGGGGGGGGAUAACUACUGGAAACGGUAGCUAAUACCGCAUAACGUCGCAAGACCAAAGAGGGGGACCUUCGGGCCUCUUGCCAUCGGAUGUGCCCAGAUGGGAUUAGCUAGUAGGUGGGGUAACGGCUCACCUAGGCGACGAUCCCUAGCUGGUCUGAGAGGAUGACCAGCCACACUGGAACUGAGACACGGUCCAG